UACCGAGGGUGCAAGCGUUAAUCGGAAUUACUGGGCGUAAAGCGUGCGUAGACGGUUAUUUAAGUCGGGUGUGAAAGCCCCGGGCUCAACCUGGGAAUUGCAUUCGAGACUGAAUAGCUAGGGUGCGGAAGAGGGAAGCGGAAUUUCCGGUGUAGCGGUGAAAUGCGUAGAUAUCGGAAGGAACACCAGUGGCGAAAGCGGCUUCCUGGUCCAGCACCGACGUUCAGGCACGAAAGCGUGGGGAGCAAACAGG
rnacentral:rRNA from 1 species